UCCUUGGUGGCUCAGAUGGUUAAAGAAUUUGCCUGCAAUGCAGGAGACCCAGGUUCAAUUCCUGGGUUGGGAA
rfam:Ovis aries breed Texel chromosome 13, whole genome shotgun sequence.